rnacentral:rRNA from 1 species
CGAGGUAGCAAUACCUAGCGGCGGACGGGUGAGUAACGCGUGGGAACAUACCCUUUGGUACGGAAUAGCCUCGGGAAACUGGGAGUAAUACCGUAUGUGCCCUUCGGGGGAAAGAUUUAUCGCCAAAGGAUUGGCCCGCGUUGGAUUAGGUAGUUGGUGGGGUAAUGGCCUACCAAGCCGACGAUCCAUAGCUGGUUUGAGAGGAUGAUCAGCCACACUGGGACUGAGACACGGCCCAG